rnacentral:rRNA from 1 species
CCCUUAGAUGUUCUGGGCCGCACGCGCGCUACACUGAUGCAUUCAACGAGCCUAUCCUUGACCGACAGGUCCGGGUAAUCUUUGAAUCUGCAUCGUGACGGGGAUAGAUUAUUGCAAUUAUUAAUCUUCAACGAGGAAUGCCUAGUAGGCGCAAGUCAUCAGAUUGCGUCGAUUACGUCCCUGCCCUUUGUACACACCGCCCGUCGCUCCUACCGAUUGGGUGUGCUGGUGAAAUGUUCGGAUCGGCCGUUUGUCGCGGUUUCCGCGUCAUGUGGCUGAGAAGUUCAUUAAACCCUCCCACCUAGAGGAAGGAGAAGUCGUAACA